ensembl:lncRNA
UCGAGGCUUCCUCUCCAGAUUUGACAAUGUUCUUCCUGCCAGCUUGGCCUUUGAUAAAUGCACUGCCUGCUCACAAGUGGUCCUGGACCAUUACGAGCGUGAAGGAUUCCAGUUUUGUCCAAGGUGUUCAACUCGUCUCACUCCUUCCUGGAGGAUUUGACGGGUCUGACCCUGCUUGCAUCAGGAGACACAGGCUGCUGAGAUUUGGGACAUGAGUGAUGAUGAAAGUAUCUGAAGACCGAUCCGUAGACGGACGAAGCUGACGCAGGUCAUCACUGGACACCUUGGCCAGCCUGCAGGACAUUACCAAAACUUGGGUAUCACUCAGAUGGAGCUUAACAUUAUUAAGACAUUCCUCGAUAAUGAAAUGAUGGUGGAUCCAGCACACUCUUAUUAACGAGGAAACGCAACAAUUCUGUUUACGUGAGUGAUUCCAAUACAGUCGUGUAGUCCACAACCAAAAUGUUUAACUUUACUGUUUGUUUACUCAAACGUCAAAAUCCUUGUCUGUCAUGAACAGCUAAUAACUAUAAUCUCUGUGGUGUCUCUCUAAACAAACUCCUUUUUAAUAAAAUAAAUCAUGAAAUAAAAAUUGUCCCAAAAAACAUCUAUCCAAUAUACUUAAAUAUUCUGUGUAAAUAAUGUGAUGAUGGGGGGAAAACUCGCGGUCAUGAAUCAGUCAUUUAAUGUGCUCAGUUGGAUUGGUUUUUAAUGUGAUUAUAAACUGGACUAUCCAUCCAUCUUCUGUACUGCAUAUCCCACACAAAGUCGCAGGGGAGCCUGGAGACUAUACCAGGGAACUCGGGGCACGAGGCGGGGGACACCCUGGACGGGGUGCCAACACAUCACAAGGCACAUUCACAUACAGUGGACAAUUAGGAAAUUCCAAUCAAAACAAAAUGCAAACUCUGUACACACGGUGGAGGCAGGAAUCAAACCCCCAACCCCGGAUGUGCGAG